GAGGGUAUAGUUCAGUGGUUAGAGUACAGGCUUAGCAUGCAUAAGGUCCUGGGUUCAAUCCCCAGCACCUCCA
rnacentral:tRNA from 1 species